rnacentral:rRNA from 1 species
CAUGCAGUCGAACGCUGAAGCCGACAGCUUGCUGUUGGUGGAUGAGUGGCGAACGGGUGAGUAACACGUGAGUAACCUGCCCCUGAUUUCGGGAUAAGCCUGGGAAACUGGGUCUAAUACCGGAUACGACCAUCCCUCGCAUGAGGGUUGGUGGAAAGUUUUUCGAUCGGGGAUGGGCUCGCGGCCUAUCAGCUUGUUGGUGGGGUAAUGGCCUACCAAGGCGACGACGGGUAGCCGGCCUGAGAGGGCGACCGGCCACACUGGGACUGAGACACGGCCCAGACUCCUACGGGAGGCAGCAGUGGGGAAUAUUGCACAAUGGGGGAAACCCUGAUGCAGCGACGCAGCGUGCGGGAUGACGGCCUUCGGGUUGUAAACCGCUUUCAGCAGGGAAGAAGCCGUAAGGUGACGGUACCUGCAGAAGAAGUACCGGCUAACUACGUGCCAGCAGCCGCGGUAAUACGUAGGGUACGAGCGUUGUCCGGAAUUAUUGGGCGUAAAGAGCUCGUAGGUGGUUGGUCACGUCUGCUGUGGAAACGCAACGCUUAACGUUGCGCGUGCAGUGGGUACGGGCUGACUAGAGUGCAGUAGGGGAGUCUGGAAUUCCUGGUGUAGCGGUGAAAUGCGCAGAUAUCAGGAGGAACACCGGUGGCGAAGGCGGGACUCUGGGCUGUAACUGACACUGAGGAGCGAAAGCAUGGGGAGCGAACAGGAUUAGAUACCCUGGUAGUCCAUGCCGUAAACGUUGGGCACUAGGUGUGGGGGACAUUCCACGUUCUYCGCGCCGUAGCUAMGCAUU